CAUAAUAAACAGUAAAAACAAUAAUAAAGAAAAAUGUGAACCUUCUAUUAUCAUUAUUUUUGUUUUAUAAAAAAAAGGAAAUAAAGGAAAAUAGAGAAUAAAAAAUAUUAAUAAAAAUAAAGUAAUAGUAAGGUAUGUUUCUUAAUGAAAAGGAAAUGUUGAUAAUGCCUCUCACCCAUCUCUCAUCUUUACAUUUCAAUAAACCCACUUGUUAUCCAUCUCUAACAGCCAAAUUGUUGGGUUACGUCGUAGAAAAAAAUAAUAAAAAAGGAAAGAAAGGAUAAGGCUAUAGAAAGUAGAGUUUGGGGCGGUGGAAGAAUAGCUAUAGGACAGCAGAGGCGCCGACUGUUGCAUCAAAAAGCCUGCAAGGUGGAGUGGCUGGAAACCCUCGUGCGAAGAAAUCUCAUGAUAUAGCCCUCUAUAAAUACCAAGGACAUACAGAACGAAGGGGGGUGAAGGUUUUAAAAGAGAACCAACAAAUUAAUAGAAAAGAUAGAAACUCAUAUGUGCACACUGUGAGAGAAAACUCAUGACCAAGCCAAUUAAAGAAGCCACCAUCAACUCAACCCUCUGCGCCCUCCCGUAAGGUUGCUAGAAGAUCCUUCACACUGCACCAAAUUUGCUGCUUUCCUCACGCCAUCAGCCGGUCACUGGAAGCCAACUCCACAACCUCCUUCAUCACAAUCUUCUAAAAGACGUGAAAUACCAAAAUCCCAAGGUUUCAUCCCCUGCCACGGUCACUUUGGAAGAUUGUCCAUCACCGUGCUACAUCGUCCAAAGCUCACGCAAUCUCUACUACACCCACGUCGUCAACUGCUGCAAGUUUCUCCCUCACCAUCGUGAGGACCUUAACUUGAUUAAGGACUUGUGUGCCUAGAGAACCGUGCACUUGAGGACUGUGUUAGAGCAUACGUAUUAUAUUGGAGUGUGGGCUUGUGCUAAGCUCCCUAAGGUACCCAGAGUAGUGGUGAUGCUUUUAGGGGCAAGGCCCCCCGCAUUGGAGUAGUUGAUGAUGCAGCUAAUGUUUUUAUAUUAUGUUUAGAUUUGAUGUUGGCAUGUAGACUUGUUAAUAUGCUUAAUUAUUUUAGGGAGAUUAUUGUAUGUAUUUAUUUAGGCUCAUGAUUGUAUUGUUAGAGCCAUGGAUUAUUUACUGAUGCUUUUAUACUUUGAAUUAAUAUAGACUUGA